CAUCCUAUAACAGCUGUUCAAUUAGAAUGGUCAUUGUGGUCAAGAGAUUGGACAAAGAAAUUCAUCUGACAAGCAGUGAUUUUUCUCUGCAGGACCACAACUGUUUGACAACUUGGCAGAGGGUGACAUGCAUAAGAGUUUUCCAAGGCUGAAAUCAGAAAACCUGGAGGAAAACAAGAAAAUAUUUGCACGGGUUACUGAAAUGCAGCAAAGAAAGGAUGCACCCCAGCACAGCUGGCCUUGGCUUGGGUUCAUCAUCAAGGAGAUGGCAUGGUUCCAGUACUUGGUGCCACCAAGAAGGAGAACUUCAACCCAAAUGUCAGAGCUCUAUCAGUGAAAUUAACAUGAGUAGAUGGCUAAACUUGUGUCCUAUGCUUCCGCUGAUGUGGUUAAGGGUAAUAGACAUGCCUUCGUGGCAACAACAUGGAAGAACUCUGAUUUUGUUAUUGUUUAUUUUUUGGACAAAAAAACUCCAUUUUUUCAAUGGGUUCUCUUCUUGUAGAAAAAGGAAUUUAAUUUUUUUUUUUCGUUUUUCGUUAUUGCAAAAAGGGCUUGAUUUUGUGAUUUGAUAGAACAACUCCUUAUUACUUUUCUAGCCCUCUACAUUCUGAUUAUAUGGAUGUGUUUCCAUCUAAUUAUGCCUUUUUAUGUAAUUUAGCUUUUUUAACUUUUUACCCACUCUUGGAGACCGUUUUCCCUCUGAAUUCUGUCGGCCAUUACUGUUCAUUGCAUUUCAUCCCCUCUUCUCUAGGCAAUUUUGUCAUUCCAGCCUCUUGCUUGUUCUUUUUCUUGAAGCUGGUACAACUGGUUGCUGCUUUUAUUUGGAGAAUGUAUCUUUUCUAUCCUUAUUACACAACGCUUUUUUGGUUAUUGCUUUGCAAAACUCCAUAUUUGUGUUUUCACAGUAGCCUUCUACUUUUGCUAUUGGAAAUUGUUCUUCAUCUGACUCCAUGUUUGCUUUUAUUUUUUGCAUUUACAUCUCUCCGCUCUAUCCUGCUACCACUUACACGAAUGGCAUCUAAAUCACAGGUGUCCAAACAUCUGAGACGUUACCAUGCCUACAUUUUUCCUACCAGCUACCACUGCCUUUUUGAGGCCAUUUCUAUCUAUUACCAGAUAUUUGCCAACCCUUCAUCUUCCUUCAUCUUCUCCAGAGGCCAUAACAAUAAAGGACCGGGCCAUCUCCAAUCUCUCUGAUCUGCUUGGGCAAGAAAAUAAGGCGAAGGAACAUAAGAAUCUUUUGACCCAACUUCGGCCCUUCUUUUCCUUGAUCCCCAAAGUGAAAGCUGCAAAAAUUAUCUGUGGAAUUGUUGAUACGGUGGCCAAAAUACCUGCCACAUCUGAUGUUCAGAUUACCCUAUGCAAGGAAAUUGUGCAAUAGACGCGUGAUGAGAAGUGAACUUUCCUUUGUUAGCGCACUGAGGCAAAACUUGCAGCUCUAUUGAUGGAGACCAAGGAAGAUUACGAAACUUUAGCUCUGCUUUCUGGACCAAUCAAGGAGGCUUCAAAUAUUUUGCAAGAGUUGAUCAACAUUCAUAUUGACGGAAAAGUUAUAUUAGCAAUCCAAGGUCAGGUCAAAGAUGAUAAGCCUACCUUUAUUGAGCGAACAGCAGUAAAAUCUAUUUGUGGAGUCUUUGAAAACUUGUUGACUACUCAAGUUGGCAUUCCAAAUGAACAGCUUCUGCAAGUCAUUUUUGUCUUGUUCCUAAAACUUUAGAGGUGCCGCAUGUUUAUUUGAAGAGUAUAGUACUCAAACUCGCUCAAACGAUGACUAAUGAUAGUGGUGUUUCUGACACAACAUAUGCGCUGUUCAGAGUUUGAAGACUACGGGACCUUUAAGCUUUGAAAGUCUUGUUCUCUAUUUUCUUGGAAGAGUUGCCUGCAAGAAGCAUUUGACAAGGUAUCUAGCUCUGAGAACUUUAGAACCUGCUUUUCAGGGAACUGGUCAGAGAAUGUAUCCUAAUUGAAAGACUGCAGUGGAUAAUUAUACUGAUCUUUCAGUAUCUGUUAUUCCAUUUAUUUCAUGAAAUAUGGAACGCGUCACGUGUUGCAUCACAUUACGAAAAUUGCUACGAUACUAACAUGAAAAACCUUUCCAAAUAAUCUUCAACCCAAACAGGCUCUUCGAUUUUCAAUCAAGGAAAAGCUUAAACUUUUUAUCCUGUUUUAAGUUUCGAUCCAGUGAACAGAAAAAAACUAAUAUCAACCUUGUUGCGUUUAGCGCAACGGAUCUUCUGUACCACAGCCUGUCUCACAUCCUGUCCCACUCCUUAAAAUCUCGCCAAGUGUCCCUUAAUAAACCAAAUUCUCAAACAACUUAACUCAGACCAUAUUAAGUUAAUUAAUCGAUUAACCGGACAAAGAAAUUUAAUCUCUUUAACCAAUAUAAUCAAAACCAAGAAAAAUAAAAACUCUUUAACCAAAAUUACAAUUUUUCAACGGAAAAAACCCUAAAAUAUUAAAAAACCUCUGUCCGAGUUCAUCAUCUUCACCAUUCAGCUUUGACGAAAUAUUCACGGAUAAAACUUCGAAGCUCUUCCCAAAGGUCCUCUGUCCUCUUCAUCAUCUCUUCCCAUGAGAAAUAACUUUUUUACGAGGAUGAGAUAAAGCUUCGAAGCUCUUCCCAAAGCUUCCACUCCAAAUGUUUCAUCUGUUAAAUUUUCUGAAAAUUCGGUAUGUACUGGACGAAGCUCACCAGCUGUUCGAUCAAAUGCCUAAGAGGAAGAUGAAUCAAACUCUAAGGGGUAUCUGAUAUGAUGAUAGGUUUUUGCAGUCAACUGGAACUGAUUCGUGUUACUGCAUCUGAGACUAUGGAAGCCUAUAUCAUUCUGUGCAACCUUGAUGAUGGACAAGAAGAGCAGGAGAGGAAAAGGUUCUUGCGUGGAGGAGGAGGAGGAGGAGGAGUGGGGUAAGGCAGAGCCAUCAACUCUCAAGAAUUCGCCGGAGAACAAACUAAGGGAGGCUCUCGAGGAGGCUUCUGAAGAUGGGUCACUUCGUAAAAACACAUGAAAUUCACUCUGAGUCUUUGAAUCAAGAUGGCUGCUUGGGAAGGUCAAUAUCUCUUGCAAGGCUUAAUGCCCAGAAGGAAUUCUUGAGGGCAACUACUCUUUUGUCUGAAAGGACAUUUUGCAUUGAAGAAUCCAUUCCUGGCUUUAAUGAAGCCUUCUUGUUGGUUCUUGACUUUGUACCCGAAGUUCCAAUGUUGAGAAACAAUUGACCAUUUGAGAAUUGACUUUGUACGGGUUGUUUUCUUGUUUUCAAACGCUACAAAAAGCAUAAUAUUCACUUA